CGAACGGAUCCGUGUUGCACUCCCGCUGAUAAGCAAUCAGCACCAGGGGAAGCCGGUCGAAAUCCGGCGCUGACCCGCAACCGUAGGCCCGGCAUCAUCCCGGGCGAGUCGGAAUGCCUGGAGCUGGGACUCAGCACGA
rnacentral:ncRNA from 2 species